GACGAACCGUGCGAACGUUGUUCGGAAUCACUGGGCGUAAAGGGCGCGUAGGUGGUUUGAUAAGGGUGUGGUGAAAGUCCGGGGCUCAACCCCGGAUCUGCCGUGCCGACUGUCAAACUCGAGGACUGUAGAGGCAGACGGAAUUCCGGGUGUAGCGGUGGAAUGCGUAGAUAUCUGGAGGAACACCGGUGGCGAAGGCGGCAUCCUGGACCAACACUGACGCUGAGGAGCGAAAGCCAGGGGAGCAAACGGG
rnacentral:rRNA from 1 species